ACGGAAGGCAGCAGUGGGGAAUAUUGGACAAUGGGGGAAACCUUGAUCCAGCGACGCCGCGUGAGUGAAGAAGUAUUUCGGUAUGUAAAGCUCUAUCAGCAAGGAAGAAAAUGACGGUACUUGACUAAGAAGCUCCGGCUAAAUACGUGCCAGCAGCCGCGGUAAUACGUAUGGAGCAAGCGUUAUCCGGAUUUACUGGGUGUAAAGGGAGCGUAGACGGCAAAGCAAGUCUGAAGUGAAAUCCCGGGGCUCAACCCCGGAACUGCUUUGGAAACUGUUUAGCUAGAGUGCAGGAGAGGUAAGCGGAAUUCCUAGUGUAGCGGUGAAAUGCGUAGAUAUUAGGAGGAACACCAGUGGCGAAGGCGGCUUACUGGACUGUAACUGACGUUGAGGCUCGAAAGCGUGGGGAGCAAACAGGAUUAGAUACCCUGGUA
rnacentral:rRNA from 1 species